rnacentral:rRNA from 1 species
UACGCAGGGGGCUAGCGUUUUUCGGAAUCACUGGGCGUAAAGCGCACGUAGGCGGAUUGUUAAGUCAGGGGUGAAAUCCCGGGGCUCAACCUCGGAACUGCCUUUGAUACUGGCAAUCUCGAGUCCGGAAGAGGUGAGUGGAACUCCUAGUGUAGAGGUGAAAUUCGUAGAUAUUAGGAAGAACACCAGUGGCGAAGGCGGCUCACUGGUCCGGAUCUGACGCUGAGGUGCGAAAGCGUGGGGAGAAAACAGG